UACGGAGGAUGCAAGCGUUAUCCGGAAUUAUUGGGCGUAAAGCGUCCGCAGGUGGCGAUGUAAGUCUGCUGUUAAAGAGUGAGGCUCAACCUCAUAAGAGCAGUGGAAACUACAUAGCUAGAGUACGUUCGGGGCAGAGGGAAUUCCUGGUGUAGCGGUGAAAUGCGUAGAGAUCAGGAAGAACACCAGUGGCGAAGGCGCUCUGCUAGGCCGUAACUGACACUGAGGGACGAAAGCUAGGGGAGCGAAUGGG
rnacentral:rRNA from 1 species